rnacentral:tRNA from 2 species
GCGUCGCCUAGUCCGGUCUAUGGCGCCGCACUGCUAAUGCGGUUUGGGUCUUAAAGCCCAUCGAGGGUUCAAAUCCCUCCGCCUCCGCUCCA